ACUCCGCAGUGAGGGCAAGGGUGCUAAGGUCCUUGUCCGAAAGGGAAAGAACCCGGACCAACAGCUAAGGUCCCAAAAUUUACACUAAGUUGAACUAAGGUAGUCCAGUUGCUGAGACAGCCAGGAUGUUGGCUUGGAAGCAGCCAUUCAUUUAAAGAGUGCGUAACAGCUCACUGGUCGAGCGGUUCCGCAUGGAUAAUGAUCGGGCAUAAGCACACCACCGAAGCUAUGGCUUUACAGUUUACUGUAAGGGGUAGGGGAGCAUUCCAUUCUGCGUUGAAGCGGGCCUGCGAGGUCCCGUGGAGCGUAUGGAAACGAAAAUGUAGGCAUAAGUAACGAUAAUGUGGGCGAGAAACCCACACGCCGAAAGACCAAGGUUUCCCCAGCUAUGCUAAUCAGCUGGGGGUCAGUCGGGACCUAACACGAACCCGAAAGGGGCAGUGGAUGGACAAGCGGUUAAUAUUCCGCUACCCGCAAUACGAUAAAAGUGACGGGGCACCGGAGUUGGUGCGCACAGACGGAAUUGUGCGUUGAACCUUCGGGGAUAGUACACCAAGGCCACGGCCGCGGUGAUAAUCCAGCGUAGGUGCCUCCAAGAAAAGCGAGUAUUGCGGCCCGUACCGUAAACCGACACAGGUGGUCGGGAUGAGUAUUCUAAGGCGCUCGAGAGAUUCAUGGCUAAGGAACUAGGCAAAAUGGACCCGUAACUUCGGGAGAAGGGUCGCCCCCUUUGGGGGGCCGCAGUGAAUAGGUCCAGGCGACUGUUUAUCAAAAACACAGGGCUCUGCCAAAUCGAAAGAUGAAGUAUAGGGCCUGACACCUGCCCGGUGC
rnacentral:rRNA from 12 species